GACGAACGCUGGCGGCGUGCCUAACACAUGCAAGUCGAGCGAGGAACUUCGGUUCCUAGCGGCGGACGGGUGAGUAACACGUGGGUAACCUGGCUCAUAGAGGGGGAUAGCCUCCCGAAAGGGAGAUUAAUACCGCAUAAGAAGCGAAAGUCGCAUGGCUUUAGCUUUAAAGGAGUAAUCCGCUAUGAGAUGGGCCCGCGGCGCAUUAGGUAGUUGGUGAGGUAACGGCUCACCAAGGCAACGAUGCGUAGCCGACCUGAGAGGGUGAUCGGCCACAUUGGAACUGAGACACGGUCCAGACUCCUACGGGAGGCAGCAGUGGGGAAUAUUGCACAAUGGGCGAAAGCCUGAUGUAGCAACGCCGCGUGAGUGAUGACGGCCUUCGGGUUGUAAAGCUCUGUCUUUGGGGACGAUAAUGACGGUACCCAAGGAGGAAGCCACGGCUAACUACGUGCCAGCCGCCGCGGUAA
rnacentral:rRNA from 1 species